rnacentral:tRNA from 1 species
UGGGGCGUGGCCAAGCGGUUAAGGCACCGGACUUUGACUCCGGCAUCCCAGGUUCGAAUCCUGGCGCCCCAGCCA